rnacentral:rRNA from 2 species
UGGGGAAUAUUGGACAAUGGGCGCAAGCCUGAUCCAGCCAUGCCGCGUGUGUGAAGAAGGCCUUUUGGUUGUAAAGCACUUUAAGCGAGGAGGAGGCUACUUGGAUUAAUACUCUAGGAUAGUGGACGUUACUCGCAGAAUAAGCACCGGCUAACUCUGUGCCAGCAGCCGCGGUAAUACAGAGGGUGCGAGCGUUAAUCGGAUUUACUGGGCGUAAAGCGUGCGUAGGCGGCUUCUUAAGUCGGAUGUGAAAUCCCUGAGCUUAACUUAGGAAUUGCAUUCGAUACUGGGAAGCUAGAGUAUGGGAGAGGAUGGUAGAAUUCCAGGUGUAGCGGUGAAAUGCGUAGAGAUCUGGAGGAAUACCGAUGGCGAAGGCAGCCAUCUGGCCUAAUACUGACGCUGAGGUACGAAAGCAUGGGGAGCAAACAGGA